CAAGUCAUCAUGCCCCUUAUGUCCAGGGCUGCACGCAUGCUACAAUGGCAAGUACAACGAGUCGCAAUACCGCGAGGUGGAGCAAAUCUCUUAAAGCUUGUCUCAGUUCGGAUAGGAGUCUGCAACUCGACUCCUUGAAGUUGGAGUCGCUAGUAAUCGCAAAUCAGCAAAGUUGCGGUGAAUACGUUCUCGGGGUUUGUACACACCGCCCGUCAAGUCACGGAAGUCGGCAAUACGCGAAGCCAGUGGUCUAACCCUUUGGGGAAGAAGCUGUCGAACGUAGGGUUGGUAACUGGGACUAAGUCGUAACAAGGUAGCCGUACGGGAACGUGCGGCUGGAUCACCUCCUUUCUAAGGAG
rnacentral:rRNA from 1 species